AGAGUUUGAUCCUGGCUCAGAAUCAACGCUGGCGGCGUGCCUAACACAUGCAAGUCGAACGCGAAAGUCCCGCAAGGGAUCGGUAGCGUGGCAAACGGGUGAGUAACACGUGGGUGACCUGCCUUCGAGUGGGGGAUAACGUCCCGAAAGGGACGCUAAUACCGCAUAACAUCCUGCCUUUUAAGAGGUGGAGAUCAAAGCCGGGGAUCGCAAGACCUGGCGCUUGAAGAGGGGCCCGCGUCCGAUUAGCUAGUUGGUGGGGUAAUGGCUCACCAAGGCUCCGAUCGGUAUCCGGCCUGAGAGGGCGGACGGACACACUGGGACUGAGACACGGCCCAGACUCCUACGGGAGGCAGCAGUGGGGAAUUGUUCGCAAUGGGCGCAAGCCUGACGACGCAACGCCGCGUGGAGGAUGAAGAUCUUCGGGUCGUAAACUCCUUUCGAUCGAGACGAACGGCCUUCGGGUUAACAACCUGGAGGAGUGACGGUACCGAGAGAAGAAGCCCCGGCUAACUCCGUGCCAGCAGCCGCGGUAAUACGGGGGGGG
rnacentral:rRNA from 1 species